UACAGAGGUCCCAAGCGUUGUUCGGAUUUACUGGGCGUAAAGGGUGCGUAGGUGGCGGGGUAAGUCUGGUGUGAAAGCUCCGAGCUCAACUCGGAAAAGCAUUGGAAACUAUCCCGCUGGAGGGUCGGAGGGGAGACUGGAAUUCUCGGUGUAGCAGUGAAAUGCGUAGAUAUCGAGAGGAACACCAGUGGCGAAGGCGAGUCUCUGGACGACUCCCGACACUGAGGCACGAAAGCUAGGGGAGCAAACAGG
rnacentral:rRNA from 1 species